GCCGGGUAUGGUGGUGCAUGCCUGUAAUCCCAGCUACUCGGAAGGCUGAGGCAGGAGAAUCACUUGAACCCGGGAGGCAGAGGUUGCAGUGAGCCAAGAUCGCACCAUUGCACUCCAGCCUGGGUGACACAGUGAGACCCUGUCUCAA
rnacentral:SRP_RNA from 1 species